rnacentral:lncRNA from 1 species
CGCGCGGGGUGCGCGGGGCUUCCCUGCCCUCCUGCUGCUCUCCGACCUGCCUCGCCCCUGGCCGUCCCAGCUCCCCGGGGUGCGCUCCGAUUGGGGCUGUACGAAACAGUUUCAGCACCAAAGACAUGGGAGUGACGAAGAUGCACGAGGCCUGGACCCUGCGGAGCUCACAUUCCGGUGGGAUAGAGACAGAAAACAGGCCCGUACUAUAAUAUCCGGUAACGGAAAGUAGGAAGAAGUAGGAAGGGCUAGAGAGUAACAUGCAGACUUGCUGGUAGGAAGGGCCUCUCUACGGGGUAUCAUUUGAACAAGAUGCCUCAAGGGGAGGAAGAGCCUCGGAUAGCAAGAUCUCGGACCAUGGAUAGAAGAGCGAAUGCAGAGGUCCUAGACCAAGGGCCGACUUAGUGUACUGGGAAAAGAAAGAUCAGUAUGGGUAGAAAAAUGUCACCGAGGAAAUGUCGCAGAAGGUAAAACAGAAAGGUGUGGGUAUUGUGUUUCAGUGACAAAGAAGGUGACUAAGAUUGAAGGAGAGCACUUGAGCACGAAGGUAGAAGGAGAAGAGGAAACAUUCAGAGAUUGUGCUUCAGGAUGGGAGGCCAGGCGGAGAAGGAAGAGCUGGCAACACAGCCAAGAGGGAGCAGCUGGCAAGCUUUCUUCCAGUCCCCAGUGCUGACCCUGCUCUCAAGCUGACCUUUUACCAGCAACUCCUAAGGCUGUGUACCCCAUGGGGUAGAGCCGCUUCUCUCACGGCUCAACCAUGGUUUUGGAACCAGGUCUCAGUGACCCUGAUUGGCCUGACUUGGGUUGCUGGCUCAUCCCUGAACCCACACUGCAGCCAGAAAGAUGGGGAGUCCUGGUUAGAUGAAGGAAAUUGAGAUUCAUUUUUGGAGACAGGCUAGGGUUCCUCUCACCCAAAUUCUGAGGUUGGAAAGGAUAGCAGAGGACAGUAUGCUAAGGCAGUAAUCAACAAAUUUCUGGAAUAGCAAGUGUUAGAGUUAAGGAUGGUUUCCAAAUCUCUAGCUUGAGCAUUCUGGAGGGAAAUAAGGAAGCUCUUCUAGAAAUCAGUUGUGAUGAGAAAUACAAUGCAUUGUAGCUACCAACUGGUCAUUGGUGAUUGUGCAUUGAAACGGGUUUCAGGGAAGUAGUGGGGACAGAUGCCAGACUACAGCAGUGAAAGAAUUAAAUGGAGUGAGCACAUUAUGGCAGGGCAAGUUGGCCUUCUUCAAAAGCUUAGAACUAAAGAGUGAGAGAAAGCUAAAAGUAAUAACUAAAAGAAGCCAUGCAGUUAAAACAUUUUUUAAUAUAAAAGAAAUUUGUGCAUGCUUAAACACUACACAAUAUGAGAAAGAUUAAAAUAAAAGACAUAGGAGAGAAACAGGAUAAUUAAUGGAUCGAGAUACCUAGGAACAAUGAGAUUCAGCAUACAACUAAAAUAAUCUUAAAGAAGAGUAAGGAACCAUUUUUACUGUCAUUGAAGGAAAGAGAUGAGGACAGAUGACAAUGAAUUACUGCAUGUGCAAUGGGGAGUGAAUGCAGGAAGUGGAGGGGGACCCCAUCUGAAGGUUUGUAGCUUCUUGCUGAAGUAGAUGUUACCUACUGCUGGGUGUAUGAAAGCCUCCGUGAAGAGAGGGUGGAUUAGGAAAGAAUGUAGAGCCCACAUCAUCUAGAGUGCAUGUGGCCUAUUAUCACGGACCCAGUCUCACCCACGAUCAUCAGCCAGUCCAAUGGCGGGAACAAUCUAUUUCUCAACUAUAGCCACCCAGGAGAUGACUUCACACUGCACCCAGACCCAACUGGAUGGAAGCCCAGAGUCUUCGCGCUUGGCCUCCCCUUCACAUUCUGUCUGGCUCUCUGCCCUCUCUCAGGCUCCCAGCUCUCUCCUCCCCUUCCCUGAGGCAGACUGGAGACAGCUUCGGUCCUUUGUGCUGAGCCCGGAGAGGCCAUGUUUAUUCCUACUGAAGCAGGUGGGGUCUCCUCGAGGGUCCUCCCAAGAAAACCCAACUUUUCUCUUCCUAAUGUUGAUCACCUCUCAUAGUAAUAACCAAACUGUGUAAUUUUGAGAAAAGGCCCCCCUCUCCACCAGGCGAGAGAAUGGGAAGAAUGAAAAGAGGUGAAGGGCACAUAUAGAAGACUCCCAAGAAAGUAUCAAAGACCCAAUUGAGAUAAAAACCCAGAAAACAGAAAUACUGAUUUGUGUGUUGGUGUGACUUUCCUCAAACAAAAAAGAGGCAUCUGUGGUGUUGAACAGAAAAGAAAGCUGACAGAACUGGUAAAUACAAAAAGAUGCUGAAGUGAUGUGUAGGUCUAUGAAGUAGAAAACACAUGAGGUGCAAGAGCACCAACCUUCACUUCUGCCCUGGCUAGGAAUGCAUGGGGAAGUUCACUGCCAUUGUCGCAGUACAGGCGAGUGGGCUGAUGCUGGCAUUAAUGGGUGGCCAGUCAUCACCACUGUGGGCUCCUGGUAGAAAGAUGAAUUCGGGGCUAGGAUGUAGCUUGGAGGUGGAGCAAGUGCUUUGCAUGUGUGAGGCCCUGUGUUUGCUCCCCAGCACUGUUACAAAGAGCAGACUAAGUUGAGCUUGGCCAAUUUUCCUCUGUCUGGGUUUCUUUCUUGCCCUGUGCUGUGUUAUAUGAGGCAGUACGAAGGUCUUCUCCACGUACCAGUGCCAUGCCAUCCAGCCUCCAGCACCAUGAGACAAAAUAAACUUCUGCACUUCACAGGUAACCGAGUUGAUGGGGUUCUGCUACAGCAGCAGAGAACAGACUGAUACAGUUUCUUACUAAAAAUAAUACACGGGGACUAUUUAGUAUAUAUGUGGGGCUGGGGAUUUAGCUCAGUGGUUCUGCCGCCUGCCUCACAACCACAAGGACCCGAGUUCAAUCCCCAAUACCAAAAAAAAAAGAGUAUAUAUGUGUCUGAUGGUGUUGAGCUCUGAGGCCUCUAUUGUCUGAUUUUCUCUGGUUUCCAGUGAUGGAAUUUGUUUCCAGGGAUAGAAUUUGCCCCUGCUUUCAGUAUUUCCAUAGACCUGUAACCUGUCAAGUCUCAGUCACAAGAAAUACUCUCAUGAAAUAUUUUUGGAAAGAUAUAAUUCAGACAUUAUUCUGGAGCUGCACUGUCCAGACUGGAACCAUAAGCCAGUAUGGCUACUUACAUUUCAAUGAGUGGGAAGGGGAGUUGAAUAUCAGUUCCUCAGUCCACUGGCCCCUCCAACAAGGGUGUGAACAUCACACCAGACAGUGCAGCUGUGGACCAUCUCCGCCAUCACAGGAAGUUUGCCAAGAACAAGGCUGCCUCUGAGAUGCCCUUGGGUCACUCCAGGUGACUCAUGAGCUCAUACAAGGGCAGCACAGAGAGGUAGUGUUUUUGUCUUUAGCUUGCAGUGGAGGAACAUCACAGAAAAACAGCCCUGUUCACUCAUGAUGGUGACGGAAGGCUCUUGUCACCCAGUCUCUUACAUAGUGUCUUCUUUGAUGAACAUCCUUGAAAGAAAUCUUAUUCUUCAUGUCAGAGAAAGCCAAGGUUCUCUUAAAGGUUGGGUUGUUUUCAUCUUGUGGUUACUGUGAUUCUGGAAGUUGACUGCAUUUGUCUUCCUGUCUUCUUGCAACACUGAGAGCCAGGUCUGAAGACCCCUUCCGGAACCCAGUAGGACCCCAUGCUAUGCGUUUCUCCCCAGCCCCUGUGUAGGAAGGAGGGGGGAGGUUUCAGCCCUCAUUUCCUUUCUAUGUUUUAUUUUAUGUUUUUGAGUUGCACAUAUUUUUUAAACUUCACAAAUUCUUCCUAAAAGAGAAGUAAAAUGUAAGUAGUACAUAGAACCAUGACAGACAUAGGGUUAGACUUGCAUGCAUGCACUCACCAUUCAUGCCCAACACAGAUACAUGUCCCUGGGAUGAGAGCAUUAACAAAAA